GUAAAAUUUGAUUUUAGUUUUUUCUUAACUGUAUGAAUAGUAUGAUUAUAUUUAGAUUUCUUAAUAAAUGAAAUUGAUUUUCUUUUAUUAUGUUUGUAGUAUUUAAUUUUAAAUAAUUUAUUGAAGUAAGAUUUAGUAAUUUAUGAUUAAGUUGGUUAAAAUUGUGCCAGCUACCGCGGUUAGACAAUAAACUUGAGUUAAGUUGUUAGAUUUUGAAAAUAUAAUUUUAGUAAAAAUUUAUUUUAUUUAAUUGAAAAAGUGAAAUUUUUAUAAUUUAGGAUGAUAAAUUUAUUUUAUUUUUUUGUAGCUUUUAUUAUAAACCAGGAUUAGAUACCCUACUAUUUAAAAGUGUAAAAUGAAAUUAGGGUAGUAGUUGUUGUUCAUGAAACCUAAAAAAUUUGGCGGUGCUUUAAGCUGUUCAGAGGAAUCUGCUCUGUAAUCGAUAGUCCUCGCUUAAUUUAACUUUGUUUUGUUAUUUCAGUUUGUAUAUCGCCGUCUUGGAUAACCUUUUUAGAGGGGAAGUUAUCUCGAAAAAUUAAUUUUUAAUGUCAGGUCAAGGUGCAGCUUAUAACAAAGGUUGAAGUGGAUUACAAUUAAUUUAUUAAUAUGGAUGUUAUUUUGAAAUGAAUAAUUGAAGGUGGAUUUGAAAGUAAUUUUUAAUUAAAUAUGUAAAGUUGAAUGUGGCUCUAAGGCAUGUACACAUCGCCCGUCGCUCUCGCUAUUUAGGUGAGAUAAGUCGUAACAUAGUAGAUGUAUUGGAAAAUGUAUCUAGUAAGGC
rnacentral:ncRNA from 1 species